GACGAACGCUGGCGGCGUGCUUAACACAUGCAAGUCGAACGGAAAGGCCCUGCUUUUGUUGGGUGCUCGAGUGGCGAGCGGGUGAGUAACACGUGAGUAACCUGCCCCUGACUUUGAGAUAACUUCAGGAAACUGGGGCUAAUACCGGAUAGGAGCUCCUGCUGCAUGGUGGGGGUUGGAAAGUUUGGGCGGUUGGGGAUGGACUCGGGGCUUAUAAGCUUGUUGGGGGGGUAGUGGCUUACCAAGGCUUUGACGGGUAGCCGGCCGGGGGGGGUGACCGGCCACAUGGGGACUGAGUUACGGCCCGGACCCCUACGGGAGGCAGCAGUGGGGAAUAUUGCAAAAUGGGCGGAAGCCUGAUGCAGCAACGCCGCGGGCGGGAGGACGGCCUUCGGGUUGUAACCCGCUUUCGCCUGUGACGAAGCGGGAGUGACGGUAAUGGGUAAAGAAGCACCGGCUAACUACGUG
rnacentral:rRNA from 1 species